CCGACGGUGAGGGGUGAAACCCUGGGGCGCAAACCGGAUUAGAUACCCGGGUAGUCCAGGGCGUAAACGCUGCAGGCUUGGUGUUGGGGGCCCUACGUGGGCGCUCAGUGCCGGAGUGAAGAUGUUAAGCCUGCCGCUUGGGGAGUAUGUCCGCAAGGAUGAAACUUAAAGGAAUUGGCGGGAGAGCACAGCAACGGGAGGAGCGUGCGGUUCAAUUGGAUUCAACGCCGUAAAACUCACCGGGAGC
rnacentral:rRNA from 1 species